rnacentral:rRNA from 1 species
UACAGAGGGUGCAAGCGUUGCUCGGAAUUACUGGGCGUAAAGCGUGCGCAGACGGCAAGGCAGGUCGGGUGUGAAAGCCCUGGGCUCAACCCAGGAAUUGCAUUCGAAACCAUCCUGCUCGAGUAUGGGAGAGGGGAGCGGAAUUCCUGGUGUAGAGGUGAAAUUCGUAGAUAUCAGGAGGAACACCGGCGGCGAAGGCGGCUCCCUGGCCCAUUACUGACGUUCAGGCACGAAAGCGUGGGUAGCAAACAGG